GUCGGGCUACUGCUUAAAACAGCUGAGAAACAAGUUCACCAUUCACUGUUAAGCUGCGUGUACCAAGAAAGUAGCCUAGAUUCUAGUUGAUCUACUAUUCAAGUUGAGCUUUUUCCACUAAGUGUUCUGCUGUUUCAAUUUUUAAAAAAAAAACAGAAAUUUUAUUUAUUUAUUUUUUUACUAGAUAUA